AGUCAACUGGUAUUAUGGAAAGGGCAUGGAAGGUGAUUUUGGCCAUUGAUUCUAUCCAAAUUUGGUGGCGUGAGGGCUAGUGUUGGGUUAUGUGUAGAGGGGAGUGAGGGCUAUCCAAUGAUAUGGAAUUUCGUCGAUUUUGAUGGUGGUUGGUCAGAAUUUUUGGUGUUUUUUGUUCAUGCAAUCGAGCAUGAGAUCUUUUCAAACUGUGGUAAUGGUGCGGUGGGAGUGGUAUUGAGGCGGUGGUUUUGUUGGAUAUGAUGGCGACUGAUUUUUGUUGGUGGCAGUGGAGGGGGAUAUUGUGGUUGGGGCGAUUUUUGUUUAAUUUGGCGGUGGUGGUCUUGGUCAUGGUGCUGGCAUUGUUUGCAAUGCUAUUAGGUUGUAUUGGUAGUAGUGUGGUCCGGUGCAGUAUGCCAGUGGUGAUGGUUAGGAUUUGUUGAAAGUGAUGGUGGUGUGCAUUUGAUUGAUGUUGUUGGGAGUGAUGAUAGUGACAAGGAAAAUCGAGUAUGACCAAAGUCUAUCUUCAUUGUGACUGUCUGUGUUAGAUCUAUAAUAACUAUGACUAUAUAUGAUUUGGUUACAUAGAGUCACAAAUUAGACUGAUAUGGUCACAGAUAGUCACACUGAAGAUAAAAUUUGUCACAAUUAGUCACAGAUAACAAAUGUCAGUAAAUGUAGUAAAGUUGGAGGUGAAGGUGGUAGUGAUUGGUAGUGGAUUGUGGUACUCGGCUGUGGUGUGUGAAGAUUUAUUUAUGGUGACUCUUUGAGGUCAAUUAUGUAUUUAUUGUGGAAGUUGUGACUAAUUCUGUAUUAACUAUGAUCGAUUGUGACUUGAUCACAAAUUGUCACAGUAUAUAUUGAAUUGGUCACAGAUAGUCAC
rnacentral:lncRNA from 1 species